AAGUCGUAACAAGGUCUCCGUAGGUGAACCUGCGGAGGGAUCAUUAACUUGUAUGGCAAGUGCUGUUAGCAAUAACAACACAGCCAAUCAAACCAACACAAACACACCGCGAAUUUGAGUAUUCAGUUACUCAACCGCACCGAACAUCGAAACAACGAAGGUUUCUUCGUCUAGUAGAGUUCGGACUAUUUUUUACAUAUAUAAUACCUAUUUCACCCGCUCGUAUAUUCAUUGACUGAAAAGAAAAGGCGUUUGUCGCGUAACAGUGAGCAAACCCCUGAAACCUUCGAACUAUUCGAAAUCUAAGCACAACUCUUAGCAACGGAUAUCUUGGUUCUC
rnacentral:misc_RNA from 1 species